rnacentral:lncRNA from 1 species
CCACACCUCGGCAUCAUGGAAGUUCCCAGGCCAAGGGUCAAAAGAGAACUACAAUGGCCAGCCUGUGCCACAGCAAUGCUGGAUCUGAGCCGCAUCUGCCACCUACAUGCGGGAGCUUAAGGCAGUGAUCCUUAACCCACUGAGUGAGGCCAGGGAUUAAACCCACAUCGUCACGGACUCUAUGUCGUGUUCUUAACUCGAUGAGCCACAACGGGAACUCCAGAACUCCUGAAUUUUAAAUUUACUACAUUCUAAAGCUACAAAUCAUGUAUCACACUUUAAGCAUCCACAUCCAAACAACUCACCCUCCAUCUUGAUCCAGUUUCCCCUCUCUACCUGCACUACCAGGUGUUCCCAUUUCAUUAUUUAUCUCCCUCUUUCUUUCCCUAUAUCUCCUUCUUUUUGUUUUUGUUUUGUUGUUGCCGGCUUUUUGUGGUUUGUUUGUCUGCUUCUUAGGGCUGAACCUGUAGCAUAUGCAAGUUUCCAGGCUAGGGAUUCAACUGGAACUGCAGCUGCCAGACUACACCUCAGCCGUAGCAACAUGGAUUGCAGCCACAUCUUCGACCUACACCACAGCUCAUGGCAAUGCUAAAUUCUUAACCCAGUGGGCGAGGCCAGGGAUUGAACCCACAUCCUCAUGGAUAUUAGUUGUGUUCCCUAACCCACUGAGCUACAAGAGGAACUCCCUGAGCUAAAACAGGAACUCCCGUUUUUUUUUAUUUUAUGGCCCAAAACAUGGCAUGUGGAAGUUCCCAGGGCCUGGAAACUGGGAACUGGAGCCACAGCAAGACCAAUGUGCCCUGGGCUGUGGAUCAAACCCACACCUCUUCAGUGACCCAAGCCACUGCGCCCUACUAUUCUCAUGCAACCUAUUUCUUUCUUCUUCUUCUUUUUUUUUUUUUAGGGCUGCACCUGCGGCAUAUGGAGGGUCCCAGGCUAGGGGUGGAAUCAGAACUGUAGCUGCCAGCCUACACCAGACACAGUAACGCAGGAUCCGAGGCGCGUCUGUGACCUACACCACAGCUCAUGGCAACGUCAGAUCCUUAACCCACUGAGCAAGGCCAGGGAUGGAAUCCAUGUCCUCAUGGAUCCUAGUCAGGGGUUUGUUAACCACUGAGCCACGAUGGAAACUCCUGGCCUCCUAUUUCUUCUCUUUCUUUUUUGUCUUUUUAGGGCCACAUCCGAGGCACAUGGAGGUUGAAUUGGAGCUGUAGCCGCUGGUCUACACCACAGCCGCAACAACACCAGAUCCCAGCCACGUCUGUGACCUACACAGACUACAGAGACCACAGCUCACGGCAAUGCCGGAUCCUUAACCCACCUAGGGAGGCCAGGGGUCGAACCUGCGCUGGCAUGGAUUCUAGUCAGAUUCGUUUCUGCUGAGCCAGGAGGAGAACUCCCUGGCCUCCUGUUUCUUAUCUCUCAUCCAUCCUGCCCUACUCUGCAAGUAGACUCCCCACUUGUUCUUCCCCCAGCCUUUCUAAUUGUCUUAAAUAUCCAUAUAGUUCUGCCCCCUUCACACAACUCUACACUCUCUCUGUCCCCAGGGUUACACCACCCACCCCUUCUGUCCCUGUUACACUCCCU